rnacentral:lncRNA from 12 species
AUGCCUCUGGAGCCAGCCAUUCCUGAAGACUACAGACCCCAAGAGAGACAGACACGUCCCUGCAGAGAGCUCAGAGCAGGUGUCUGUUUCUGGUAUAUAGAGGACAGACUCUCCAUGCACAAACCUGAGAUGCCCCUGGGGCACUGGGGCCUCAUGAGAGGGGGGUGCCCGGAGGACAGCAGGUGGGUCCAGAGCAAGAGGAUGCCUGUAUUCAGCAAGGAUAGCCUCCCCAGAGAAGGGGAGGCCGGCAAAGACACACUGCCCUUUCCACACGGGAAGCUUUCAGCCCCACCGUCCAUGUUUCCACUUUGCAUAUCCUGCUCUGUUCUGCCCUCCCUCUUCUGUUGCCAAAAUCAGCAUUUACUGUCCCUCAGCUGCGGGAGAGCCUGAGUGUUGGGGAGUAAGGAGCAGCUCUGACACCCACAGAGGUGAGUGGAAUAUUUGAUGCAAAUGAGCUUGCAGGGGAGGUGGUGUCCACUGGGCUGGGGAGCAGAGCUGCCGAGGGUGCCAGCUGGGGGUGCCAGGCCUGGAAAGGGAAACUUGCCACAAGAACUUGGACUUUGCUUGGGGUUUCUGGAGAAUGAAGUCAGGCCUGGGUGGUGUGGACAGUCCAGGGGCAGGCAGGACCACAGGUCCAUUCCCACCCGGGGAACUGCUGCGCCCCACCCCCUCCCGCACAGGGAGGAGGUUGGGGUAACACUAGCAGGUAAUGCUUACUCCUGGCACUGCCUGUGGGGAGGGGUCUGCUGAGAGUGGCUGGCCCUUCGAUGUCCCGUCCCCACAGAGGAGAGGCCAGCCGGCCUGUGCGCCUGUGCGGCAGGCGCACGGGCUGCCACCACGGGGGCCCGUCUGCAGCUCCCUGAAGUCCUCUCUCUGAGACACACAUUUGACUGAAAAAGGCUUUGUGCUGCUCACAGAGGAAUAGUUUUCUCCACAGCUUGGACAUAAAGGAGGCCAGGGCCGCUCAGCCCCACGGCUGUGGGGGAGGCCUUGUGGGCUCUGGCUGCCUUUUUCCUAGGUGCUGCUUGGUGCACAGCCAACCUGGCCCCCCAGCCUGGGCCCUGGCAGUGGGUGGCAGACUCUGGGGGUAUCCAGUCCAAAGACACUUCCUGCCCUCUGGGGUCAAAGUGAUGAACAAGGGAGCCAGCAGGACAAUGCAGGUUCUCUCUCCAGAUCCUCAGGGUGCAGGAACAGACACUAACCUGCCAGUGGUGUCACUAGGGAGUCCCUCCCCAGGUGGGCUGUGCAGACCAUGGGCAUCCUCUCAAGCCUUCCCAUGCAAGGAAGAAAUCAGAGGUGACCUCUCUGGCCUCUAGGACAUGCAGGUCUGUAUGUGGAGGCCAAGUGAGGGUCCUUGCCAGCGGCACCCAGGCCCCCCCACCCAGGUUGG